rnacentral:rRNA from 1 species
UACAGAGGGUGCGAGCGUUAAUCGGAAUUACUGGGCGUAAAGCGCACGUAGGUGGCGACGUAAGUCGGGUGUGAAAGCCCCGGGCUCAACCUGGGAAUUGCAUUCGAGACUGCAUUGCUGGAGUACGGAAGAGGAAGGCGGAAUUCCCGGUGUAGCGGUGAAAUGCGUAGAGAUCGGGAGGAAGGCCGGUGGCGAAGGCGGCGCUCUGGAACACUUCUGACGCUGAGGCUUGAAAGCGUGGGGAGCAAACAGG